AAUUAUUGAUUUUUCUUUUAUGCCAAAAAUCAUUAGGAUAUUAAGUAAAGAUCAUGUUCCAUGAAGAUAUUUUGUAAAUUUCCUACCAUUAAUAGAUAAAAAAUUAAUUUUUGAUUAGUAAUAUGCAUUGAUAAGAACGUCUUUUGGACAACUUUAAAGGUGAUUUUCUCAAUAUUUUGAUCAGAUUCCAGAUGUUCAAAUAGUUGUAUCUCAGCCAAAUAUUGGCAUAUCCUAACAAACCAUUAAUGGAAAGCUUAUUUAAAGCUUUCAGAUGAUGUAUAAAUCUCAAUUUAAAAAAACUGACCCUUAUGACUGGUUUUGUGGUCCAGGGUCACAUAUAUGAAAAAACAAACAAACAAACAAAAAAACAUAAAAUUGCAGUUUUGCAAAGCCAAAGUUGCAACCUGCAGCUAUAAACUGUGAGAAAUGUUUAAUCAGAGUAAUUAAAAAUGUGACUGCUAAAGCACACAAUUGCCUUUUUUACAGUGUAGUUCAUUGCACUUUUUCAACUUUUAAUUUGAUUAAUGAUUUAAAUAAACCUUAGUUGAGCAGAAACUACAGAAACAAGUGCGACAGUUUAAAUCAGGGGUUGUGGAGAUCUGAUAAAGCUAUAUUUAAGACCAAGUAUUUAAGGAUUAAAUUGAAGGAACACAAUGUCAAAAUGUUCUGUUAAUGUAAAUAUCUAGGGAUUUCUUCCUAAGUAUUUUUGUCUUGUUUUCCAGUGCCAAUGUCUAAAGAUUCAUAAAUCAAAAUACAUUUACUUGAAAUGCAAAAUAACUUAAGAAGUGAAUCAAGUGAGUUUAUGAUUUAAAAAAAGAACAAAAAUUUGCCAAAAUCAACUUAACACAAAAGGAAAACAAGUUUUCAUUCCCCACUGACAGAUUUUGUACUUGAUGUUUUGAUAUUUGUAUGGGAAAACAAAAAUACUAAGGCGGAUAUUCAUGCUUUGCGACAUUACGGCUAUGGCUUUCUGCUCUGAUUUCUUAUUUUUAAGGCCCUCAUUUGUGGAAGAAAGAAUUAAGACUUUUUAAGACCCGCAGAAACGAUGUUGCCGUAACUUCUUGAUGGAUCAAUUUGCAAAACACAAUCAUUCCUUUACUCAAAACAUGAGUUACACAUGUUGAUCUAAGAUGUUUUAAUGUGUUGAGAGUUCCGUCAUGAGCGUUUCAGCCGCACCGCGGUAAUUCAGUUUCCAUUAGCACUUGUGUGUGAUUAAUACCCUCCCAUCCACUUGAUUUAGGAUUCAUCACCGUUUUCUGUCAGAAAUCCUGUGUGGAGAAUGUCAGUCAGUUCCUCCCUUCAGCAGAGAAUCAAGACACACGGAGCGGAUCCGGACGACAGCGGGGAUGACUGGGAGAUCGGGGUUGGGAAUCUGAUCAUCGACCUGGACGCGGAUUUGGAGAAGGAUCGACAGAGAUUGGAGAUGAAUCGCGUUUUGAGCGUUAAAAGCGCGGUGGAAGGUCGCGAAGAGCUCGAGUACAAUUGCGCGGGCGCAGGCGCCGUGUUCGACGGCCUGACGCGAGCCUCCGCCGCCAGCGAGCAGCCGUUCCUCUGCAAGGAACCCAAGAAAUUCAAGCUGAAACGAAGGAAUUCCACCACGGACACGGAUCGAUUCCCGUCGCUGGAGAUUGUGAGCAGCAUUCCGAAAGUAUGCGUCGGUAAGCGGCGCGGCGGAGAGAUGAAUUCAGCACCAGCGCCGGUGGACAGCGACAAUCCGGCGCCGCUCGCCCGAGCCAAAGACGGCAAGAAGGGCAAAAGCCAGAGCAAAGGAGUCAAGAGAGAGAAAGACUCGGCAAGGACGCGGAAAGACAAGCCGAGCGAUGAAUUUGGCCCGCUGUCAGAGAACGGAAGCGCCUUGGGAGGAACGGAGAAUCUCGUCGUCGGCAGGGGCGGAAUGGACGCGGCUAUUGUUGACCACACUGACGACACGAGCACCGAUGAGCACAGCCUGAGGACGUUGAGUGUUAAGACGCGGUCAGUUGGAACUAACACACAGGAAGCCGAGAAAGCCCUCGAGUCCAGCUACAUGGAGCCAUGUCAACCAGGAACGAGUGUCAAUCUAGAGGGUAUUGUGUGGCAUGAGACAGAGGAAGGAGUUCUAGUUGUGAAUGUCACAUGGAGGAAAAGGACCUAUGUGGGCACUCUCUUAGACUGUACCAAGCAUGACUGGGCUCCACCACGGUUUUGUGAAUCGCCAAUGAGCGAUUCUGAUAUUCCUUACGCACGUGGACGUGGUAAACGGAUGCGGCUGGCCAUACCAGAUCAACCAACUGCUGACCCAAGUUUGUCCAAGAUACGAGGACUAACUCACAAGAGGCGCGGCGUGGGAAUUGGCAACAAAGGAAGACGAGGGAGUCUGAACCUCAGUGGCUGUAGGACACCUGGAUACUACGCCGUGGAGGACAUCAAAUCCAAUCCGCUUAUUUGUGGAAAGCGAAAAGGCAAAGCCCCAGCAGAUCUAGAUUUGAGCUUGGUCUCGGAGGACAUUAGGAAUGGGAAUGGGAAAAGGAUACGAGCCAAAUCCAGGAGCGCUCCGUCCACCCCUCAGGGUAAAUCCGACCCUGUGUUUCUCGAUCAAGUUUGCGCAUCUCCAAUGCUAAUAGACUGUCCGCAUCCGAACUGCAACAAGAAGUACAAACAUAUCAACGGGCUCCGUUACCACCAGUCCCACGCUCACCUGAACAAUGACAGCAAGCAAGAGUUUGAGGUGGAGAGCGAAGACAGACUUUCAGAUUUCGAUGAACCGCUCAGCACGGUACCUUUCGAUUCUUCUGAAAACGCCAUCUCCAAGAAGCCCAGAGGCAUGUAUAAACUCAAUGCGGUUGGUUCUCCAAAGAGCAGGAAAGCAUUGCUCAACAACGAUAGCAGUCCCAUAUCCAACGCAAAACUACGCCCUAAUGUGGUGAGUAAAGACGGAUCCAUAGAUGAUCUGAGCAACCUCCCACUCAUUUCCAACAUGUCAGUUGUGCUUGAGAACUGCCUCAUGACGGAUCGUAACGCAUCCGUUGAGAUGCCUAAGCUGGAAGCGGAAGGUGCUAUUGAUAAGAGGGACAUGUGUAGCAAAGUUAAGAAAGAAGGGUUCACCGAACGAUGCUUAGCCAAGUCUCGAACCAACAGACUCAUCAACGCUGCUCCUGCUCCUCCGAAGCUGACCGCUAUUCCACCAGCUGCAUUUUCCACUAAAAUCACGGAAGUUUCUUCUCAUCAGGCCUCUCCAACUGUUGCCCUCACAAAAGCCAAGAACCUCUCACUGAAACCCAUCAAGCCAAAGCUGGACGUAAUUGCACAAGUUAACAUGGCCAACACCACAGCAGUCCUGAGCAAAGACAGUAAGAGAAAGGAAAAGCAUCGAUUAAAGGACAGGAAUUGUAAAGAUCCACGGAGUCCCAAAAGCGACCCGAUGUAUACAAAAGCGGACGAUGCAAAGAGUAUCGGCAAGGACUUUCCUGUGAGCCUCUUGAAAGAGCACUUGAGCAAGCAAGAUGUUGUAAACGGUCCAAACGAAACGCAAGAAAGCCGCAUGGCUAGCAUCAGAGCCGAGGCCGACAAGGUGUACACGUUUUCAGACAACGCGCCAAGUCCUUCCAUUGGGAGCUCUGCGAGAAUGGACUGCGUCCCACUUACGAACGGAGAUGGAGCAAGUGCUAAAACCAACAGCCCUGCAUACUCCGACAUAUCCGACGCCGCUGAGGAUGGUGGAUCAAACUCAAGAUCUAGAAGGAAUUCGACACAAGACUCAAACUCAAAGAUUUCCUCAAUGAGUACCGCUCCCACGGUGACCCCAGGAAAAGAGGUCCAGUCUACAUCUCACAGCCAUGCCUAUGAAUCCCACUGUAUCCCAGGUUACAUGCAUUCUGGGCAAGCCAAUUCCACCUCGUUCCAUAAGGUGGCCUCUCCCUAUGGUCGGACGAAGGAUGAUUUGAGAGAUUUAAAUGAGGAUAUAAAAAGCUCAGAAUCCUCCAGCCACUCAAGUUCCCAAUCACAGAUUCAGUACGCCGAAACGCACACGGCGCUGGCUCAGUCUUUGUACUAUGGACAGUACAGCCGGGGUGUUUCCAUGGACCAGAAGGUUCUCAUGAUGCCCAACACCCACAGACCGCUCAGCGAGGCUUGCUGUGAGGAAAUCCAGUAUAGCAAGCAGAGUAGAGGUCAAGUUAGACGAGGAUCUGAGCAGAAGGAACGAACGAAGGAUGAGCAGAAACAAUUCAUAAGCUCUCCUCAGUCGAUUCAUAAAGGGGCGAACUCUGUUAAGAUUAGCUGUGCGAAACCUGGCUUCAUCUAUGUAGAGUUGGACAAGCAGCUGUCGUUUCAACAGCAGCAGCAACAGGGGAAAACGUCCCAUGUCGGCAUAUCAAAAGAACAAGGGGUCCUCAAGGAGUCUGAAGAGCUCAGUUUGGAGAGUUCAAACUCAAAAUCAAAUGUGGACACAAAUGUAACAUUUCUAAAUGCUUCAGAAUCUCAGUCCUGGAGCCACUCUUAUCAGUCCAAAUAUGUCAAGCCGCAAAAUCAAGAGGUCAACAAGAUCUCUGAGGAAAUGAGUCUGAGUCCAGACAAGGGGAAAGACUGGCACAUGCCCCUAGAGCCCGAGUCCAGGCUGGAGGCCGAACUCCAGACCGCCAAGUGCGAGACGGCUGCCGAGGUCGCUGAGGAAAACACCAGACCGGAGGUGGACGAGAUAGCAGGCGAGACGUCUGAAGACUCACAGAAUGCGAGAGGGCCCGCGUCGUCACCCCAGCAAUCCUUCAUUCAGUUUCAGCACUCCUACCCCUAUUUGCACCUGUGUGAGACGAGCAGCAAUGCUUACAGAGUGAUGUCUCCGGCUUUGGUGCAUAAUUACCCAGGUUUCCAUUACCCUCUGUAUGGAAAAACGGCAGGGAGAGAAGAUUCAGAAGGGGCUCAAAGCAGCAAACCAGUGACAGAUUCGACAGCAUUAGAGCUUCUGUCACAUCCUCUCCUGCCAUAUCACGGCAAAUCUCCCGUUCCUGGAGAAAGAGGAUCUCCAGAGCAGGAACGAGAGACUGAACGGGAGAGAGAAUCGGUUCCAUUCGGCCGCCACCUUCAGACACAUCAUCUCACUCACCUGGGCAUGAGCUACACGCUGGUGUCUGGCCAGUAUGACCCCUUUCAAGGUGAAAAGGUUUGAGUUCUGCGGCACUGGUUGCAAACCAGCAAGUGACGACGACACAAACCUGCUCCAGCGAGAACGACGGGAAGAUGUGAGAUGUUCCCGACUCACACGAGGAUUCACAGACAUCAAUUCCAUGGUGUUACUCAUCGCCUCCAUAGGAGGCAGCGACUAAUUUCAUUUCUAACCAAUGAAUGUACUAAUGGAGGACUGCAGCGGAACUAGACAUGGCUACGUGGUGACACGGGCCUGAGAAACAUUUCCUUCAGGUGCCCGUCACACACAAACCCUCUGGUCAUUGGAUUUUGCCUGUAAAUGGCUACAUCUAGCUGUUUGUAUGCACUCAUAUUGUUGUGUAACCAUACUAUUGAAUGUAUUUGCUAUUUCAUCACCUCUGUGUGGUAAAGGACGGUUUGCAAUAGAUUCUAAGUGACUGUAAGGUGGCUCGCUCCGCAUCGACUUAUUACCAUGAAUAUACUGUUAUUAACAGCCAUUAAUCUAUUAUAUCGUAUAAAGUGGAUGUUAAUCAACAGUUCAUCUCAGUGCCAUACGGUAUUAUCGUGAUGUACAUAGUUGUACAUAGUUGAACGAAGCUCAGCAGCGACUAUAACUAGCUUAUGUACCUUUGUAUUGAUUCAGUGCAAUGUAUGGUCGUCUACCCACCUCACCGACACGGCAGACGUAGUCCUUUGUUACUUCAAUAGUAAUGCAUAACUAAAUAUGUUUACAAGUGGUUUUCUGGACAGAAAGUCAAUGGUGUAGGUUGGUUGAGUCCUGUCAUUAGGUUUUUCUUGAUGUCUGCUAUAUCAUUAAACUGCAGUUGCUUUUUAUACUGUCUCUGCCUUAACAUGUUUGGCAAUCCAAAUAAAAAGUCAAGGUUGUUUUUA